rnacentral:rRNA from 1 species
UACGGGGGGGGGCAAGCGUUGUUCGGAAUUACUGGGCGUAAAGGGCUCGUAGGCGGCCAACUAAGUCGGACGUGAAAUCCCUCGGCUCAACCGGGGAACUGCGUCCGAUACUGGAUGGCUUGAGUUCGGGAGAGGGAUGCGGAAUUCCAGGUGUAGCGGUGAAAUGCGUAGAUAUCAGGAAGAACAUCGGUGGCGAAGGCGCUCUGCUGGACCAUAACUGACACUCAGGGACGAAAGCUAGGGGAGCGAAUGGG